rnacentral:rRNA from 1 species
UACGUAGGCGGUUUAUUAAGUCAGAUGUGAAAGCCCCGGGCUUAACCUGGGAACUGCAUUUGAUACUGGUAAACUAGAGUAUGGUAGAGGGGGGUAGAAUUCCUAGUGUAGCGGUGAAAUGCGUAGAUAUUAGGAGGAAUACCAGUGGCGAAGGCGGCCCCCUGGACCAAUACUGACGCUGAGGUACGGAAGCGUGGGUAGCGAACA